rnacentral:rRNA from 1 species
ACGCACGCUGGCGGCGUGCUUCACACAUGCAAGUCGUACGGUAAGGCCCUUUCGGGGGUCCACGAGUGGCGAACGGGUGAGUAACACGUGAGUAACCUGCCCACAACUUUGGGAUAACGCUAGGAAACUGGUGCUAAUACUGGAUAUGUGCUCCUGCUGCAUGGUGGGGGUUGGAAAGCUCCGGCGGUUGUGGAUGGACUCGCGGCCUAUCAGCUUGUUGGUGGGGUAGUGGCCUACCAAGGCGGCGACGGGUAGCCGGCCUGAGAGGGUGACCGGCCACAUUGGGACUGAGAUACGGCCCAGACUCCUACGGGAGGCAGCAGUGGGGAAUAUUGCACAAUGGGCGCAAGCCUGAUGCAGCAACGCCGCGUGCGGGAUGACGGCCUUCGGGUUGUAAACCGCUUUCAGCAGGGACGAAGCUUUUUGUGACGGUACCUGCAGAAGAAACACCGGCUAACUACGU